rnacentral:sRNA from 19 species
AUCAAAUGAAGACCUCCUAACUUUAUUUGAUGAAAUCCUAAACUUUUUCAUAAUAAUCUCCCUAUAAAGAUCACCAAAAGGUGAUCUUUUUG